rnacentral:rRNA from 1 species
GAUGAACGCUGGCGGCGUGCUUAACACAUGCAAGUCGAGCGAAGCACUUAAGUUUGAUUCUUCGGAUGAAGACUUUUGUGACUGAGCGGCGGACGGGUGAGUAACGCGUGGGUAACCUGCCUCAUGCAGGGGGAUAACAGUUAGAAAUGACUGCUAAUACCGCAUAAGACCACGGUACCGCAUGGUACAGUGGUAAAAACUCCGGUGGUAUGAGAUGGACCCGCGUCUGAUUAGGUAGUUGGUGGGGUAACGGCCUACCAAGCCGACGAUCAGUAGCCGACCUGAGAGGGUGACCGGCCACAUUGGGACUGAGACACGGCCCAGACUCCUACGGGAGGCAGCAGUGGGGAAUAUUGCACAAUGGAGGAAACUCUGAUGCAGCGACGCCGCGUGAAGGAUGAAGUAUUUCGGUAUGUAAACUUCUAUCAGCAGGGAAGAAAAUGACGG